ACUGUGGGGUGAGGCAUAAACAUUGCCAGUGCAAGGCACCAUCAAGCGUCUCCCAGCUCAAGGAAAGAAGAGCAAAGCAAAGAGAAAACAGAGUAAGCCCGGGCUUCUGCAGCGCGUGGCACAGCCAGACGUGAAGAAUUCUUAAAGCUCUGUUCCUACGUUCCACCCCAUGGGACGCGGCCUCUUAGGAAGAGCGUCUAUGCUGCAAUCUCUAGGUGAAGAAUACGCUGGGGUGGAGAGAAAGGGUCUUCAGUCACAGGAUUGACUUGCCUUCCAUGAGGACC
rnacentral:lncRNA from 1 species